rnacentral:rRNA from 1 species
GCAGCAGUGGGGAAUUUUGGACAAUGGGCGCAAGCCUGAUCCAGCCAUGCCGCGUGAGUGAAGAAGGCCUUCGGGUUGUAAAGCUCUUUCGGCGGGGAAGAAAUCGCAUUCUCUAAUACAGGAUGUGGAUGACGGUACCCGAAUAAGAAGCACCGGCUAACUACGUGCCAGCAGCCGCGGUAAUACGUAGGGUGCGAGCGUUAAUCGGAAUUACUGGGCGUAAAGCGUGCGCAGGCGGUUUCGUAAGACAGACGUGAAAUCCCCGGGCUCAACCUGGGAACUGCGUUUGUGACUGCGAGGCUAGAGUUUGGCAGAGGGGGGUGGAAUUCCACGUGUAGCAGUGAAAUGCGUAGAGAUGUGGAGGAACACCGAUGGCGAAGGCAGCCCCCUGGGCCAAUACUGACGCUCAUGCACGAAAGCGUGGGGAGCAAACAGGAUUAGAUACCCUGGUAGUCCACGCCCUAAACGAUGUCAACUAGGUGUUGGGAGGGUUAAACCUCUUAGUGCCGUAGCUAACGCGUGAAGUGACCGCCUG